GGAAGGGUGGCCGAGUGGUUUAAGGCAGCAGUCUUGAAAACUGCCGUGCAGGGAACUGUACCGUGGGUUCGAAUCCCACCCCUUCCGCCA
rnacentral:tRNA from 1 species